rnacentral:rRNA from 1 species
AACGCUGGCGGCAUGCCUUACACAUGCAAGUCGAACGGCGAGCACGGGAGCAAUCCUGGUGGCGAGUGGCGAACGGGUGAGUAAUAUAUCGGAACGUGCCCAGUCGUGGGGGAUAACGUAGCGAAAGCUACGCUAAUACCGCAUACGAUCUAUGGAUGAAAGCGGGGGAUCGCAAGACCUCGCGCGAUUGGAGCGGCCGAUAUCAGAUUAGGUAGUUGGUGAGGUAAAGGCUCACCAAGCCGACGAUCUGUAGCUGGUCUGAGAGGACGACCAGCCACACUGGGACUGAGACACGGCCCAGACUCCUACGGGAGGCAGCAGUGGGGAAUUUUGGACAAUGGGCGCAAGCCUGAUCCAGCAAUGCCGCGUGCAGGAUGAAGGCCUUCGGGUUGUAAACUGCUUUUGUACGGAACGAAACGGUGAGCUCUAAUACAGUUUGCUAAUGACGGUACCGUAAGAAUAAGCACCGGCUAACUACGUG